rnacentral:rRNA from 1 species
GAUGAACGCUAGCUACAGGCUUAACACAUGCAAGUCGAGGGGAAACGAUAUUGGAAGCUUGCUUCCGAUAGGCGUCGACCGGCGCACGGGUGAGUAACGCGUAUCCAACCUGCCCACCACUUGGGGAUAACCUUGCGAAAGUAAGACUAAUACCCAAUGAUAUCUCAAGAAGACAUCUGAAUGAGAUUAAAGAUUUAUCGGUGAUGGAUGGGGAUGCGUCUGAUUAGCUUGUUGGCGGGGUAACGGCCCACCAAGGCUACGAUCAGUAGGGGUUCUGAGAGGAAGGUCCCCCACAUUGGAACUGAGACACGGUCCAAACUCCUACGGGAGGCAGCAGUGAGGAAUAUUGGUCAAUGGGCGAGAGCCUGAACCAGCCAAGUAGCGUGCAGGAUGACGGCCCUAUGGGUUGUAAACUGCUUUUAUAAGGGAAUAAAGUGAGCCUCGUGAGGCUUUUUGCAUGUACCUUAUGAAUAAGGACCGGCUAAUUCCGUGCCAGCCGCCGCAGUAA